GACGAACGCUGGCGGCGUGCUUAACACAUGCAAGUCGAGCGAUGAAACUCCUUCGGGAGUGGAUUAGUGGCGGACGGGUGAGUAACACGUGGGUAACCUGCCUCAUAGAGGGGAAUAGCCUUUCGAAAGGAAGAUUAAUACCGCAUAAGAUUGUAGCUUCGCAUGAAGUAGCAAUUAAAGGAGUAAUCCGCUAUGAGAUGGACCCGCGUCGCAUUAGCUAGUUGGUGAGGUAACGGCUCACCAAGGCGACGAUGCGUAGCCGACCUGAGAGGGUGAUCGGCCACAUUGGGACUGAGACACGGCCCAGACUCCUACGGGAGGCAGCAGUGGGGAAUAUUGCACAAUGGGGGAAACCCUGAUGCAGCAACGCCGCGUGAGUGAUGACGGUCUUCGGAUUGUAAAGCUCUGUCUUCAGGGACGAUAAUGACGGUACCUGAGGAGGAAGCCACGGCUAACUACGUGCCAGCCGCCGCCGUAA
rnacentral:rRNA from 1 species